AUUGAACGCUGGCGGCAGGCCUAACACAUGCAAGUCGAACGGUAACAGGAAACAGCUUGCUGUUUCGCUGACGAGUGGCGGACGGGUGAGUAAUGUCUGGGAAACUGCCUGAUGGAGGGGGAUAACUACUGGAAACGGUAGCUAAUACCGCAUAACGUCGCAAGACCAAAGAGGGGGACCUUCGGGCCUCUUGCCAUCGGAUGUGCCCAGAUGGGAUUAGCUAGUAGGUGGGGUAACGGCUCACCUAGGCGACGAUCCCUAGCUGGUCUGAGAGGAUGACCAGCCACACUGGAACUGAGACACGGUCCAGACUCCUACGGGAGGCAGCAGUGGGGAAUAUUGCACAAUGGGCGCAAGCCUGAUGCAGCCAUGCCGCGUGUAUAAAGAAGGCCUUCGGGUUGUAAAGUACUUUCAGCGGGGAGGAAGGGAGUAAAGUUAAUACCUUUGCUCAUUGACGUUACCCACAGAAGAAGCACCGGCUAACUCCGUGCCAGCAGCCGCAGUAA
rnacentral:rRNA from 1 species